CGGGAUGUAGCGCAGUUUGGUAGCGCAUCUGUUUUGGGAACAGAAGGUCGCAGGUUCGAAUCCUGUCAUCCCGA
rnacentral:tRNA from 1 species